ensembl:lncRNA
CCGAAGACUUCCAAGAGCCAGACUCGAACUGCGUCUUCUCCGUGCGACCUCCUCCCCCUGGCUGUUUUAAGUUUCCAGUCGCACAACACGUGGGUUCGCCGGGCUCGGUGUUAUCACUUCCCUCCUUUGGCACACAGGGUAAAGUUACGUCGCCCAAGAUCUCGCACUUCUGCGCGGCGGAGCGAGCCGCAGGGAGCCCGACUCGGAGCCCACACUCGAGUCGCCACCGCCGACGGCGAUGACCACGGCCUCGAGGGACAGCCCCUGAACUAACCAGCUUUGCUCUGCCACUCCCUUCUGCCACGAUGUUCCUUGUUGAGAGCCAUCUGACCAUGGACUGAAUCCUCUGCAAUAUCAUCCCUGCCUGAUUCAUACCUGGUGCCAUUUGCCUUUGUUUGCUCUCGUGUCUGAUGUGGCCUCUGGUUCGGGUCACAUGUAAAACGCACCUGUACCUCACGUAGGAAGGUAAGUACGUCUUGCUAAGCCCUCAGACACCUGCCCUCUCGCCUCCCCUGUGGUCAGUGAUAACUGUCCACAUUUUCUCCCUGCAGUGGAGCCCACGCCAAAGCCUCUUGCACAGUAGAAGUUUUACAGCAUUUCCACAAACCUCAGUGCCAGAGAGUUUGCAUUUGAGGAACUUCAGGCCCUGAGGGAAAAAUAGGAUUGAGGGAUAAAGGCUAGGAACUUACAAAACCCUAUCUUAAAAAAAAAGCGAAGAGAAUUUGCUAAGAACAUUGUUACUAUUUAUCCAUAUUAAAUUAGAAAUGAUGGGGUACUGGACCAUUGAUUUUUGUGUAUCAUGAUUUGCUUACUAGAACAUUUAUGAUAUCCUUCCCUUUUAUUUUAAAGUUGCUUUAAACAAAAGAAACAAAGAAAAUACUAGGAAAUAGUGUCGUCCUCCAUUUAGAAUCACAUAUCUGCUAUGUAACAUAUAACUCAGGGUCUAAAUCACUCUUCCUAAAUCAUAAUUGGGGUGAUUGUCCAUUUAUGUCCAUAUUCUAUCCAAAUUUCCUAAAGUUGUGAAGUAGGUAGGUCCAGACUUUAUUUGAAGGAAUCUAUGGUUGGCAGGACACCAACCAUAGAUUCUGAUGUAUAACUUUUCUUAUAUAUCAGAAGUUUUUAUAUCUCACUUUCCACCAUUCAUACAAAGAUAAUGGUUUGUUUUAACCACUCAUUUCAAGAUAAUGUUCCUUAAUUCUAGCCUUAAAUGUCCUAGCCAGCAUUUUUGUGGUUUUCCCCAUAGCAUGUGUUAGUUCUCUGUCCAAGCCCAUUUCACCCUAAAGCAACCCUUCCCUUGUUUUGCAGCUUUUAUGCUGUUGCUUAACCAUAACUGUUGGCCUCUUUCCAUAUAUCUUUUGCAAACUCUCCUUUACUGAGAUUCCAUAAUUUUUUUAUUCCAGUGUUUUUUGUAAGUUUUCAUAUAAUACAUCUUAUAUCUGACACUCCCCCCCCCCCGCCAUUUUCUCAAGAUAAACCACUUUCUAGCUUCUUUCGUGAUCUUGAGAUUGAUUUCCAGCUGUCUCGGGUGGGGGUACCAGGUGUGCUCGCAUGCAUUCUACUUUCCAGAUGAUUCUUUUAUUAACAUUUAAUAUUAAUAGUGUUUUUUUAUCUAUUAGUACAUGCUUGCAGUACAUUAGGUUUACAUUUAUCUUGGGAAAUGGAUACAUGGACAUAAUCUGCAGAUAUUCUAACCGAAAUUGGUCUACUUCCCCAGAAACAGAUUCAGAAGGAAAGAUUUAGCAGAAUCCAAAAAUGCAUGAAUGGCUUUAUCUUUUCAGUAACUUUAUGAGAUUCAUAAGACCAGUUCAUGCCAAGCCUGUUUGUAAUUGUUUUCUGUCAUCAGACUCAGUCUUGCAUUCAUAGCACAGUAAAUUAUAUUACACAACUCAAGAGUUUAGGAUUCUUUCCAAUACACAACAUACACUGUUAAAGCAAACAUAUAAUAAUAUAAAUUUCUCUUACAAGUAUAUGUUAGGAAGGAAUAUGAUGAUCCACAGUAAGAGGAUUGAAGUGGAUCAUUCAUGUAUAUUCUUUCUGUUGCAUGUUUUAUGUUCUAAAAUAAAUUGUGUUUAUUAACAAUAUUAAAGUUUUCCUGUUGUAAGCUCACCCACAGUGUAAAUAAAGCCAUUCUUGAUACUUCUUACUUACAGGCCACAUCUACUUUGUACAGCUAUUUUGGACUCUGUGGCCCUCAUUAUGCCACUAUAUGUAUCCACAGAAUGUAUCUUCUAAUAAUAGCUCAGUAGGAUGGAUAUCCCCAUUUUAUGGCAGAAAAGACUCAGACUUAGAGAAGAAAUUAUACAACUUGGUGAAGGUCGCACACCUUCCAAGUAGCAGAGCCAGCAUUAAAAUCUAGAACUAUCUAAUUCUAAAGCCAGUUCUCUUUCCACUCCAUCUGUCUUAGGUUGUACCUAGAAGAAUACUAUCCUUGGAUUUGUUGUUUAACCACAGGAGCACAGCCUACUACAGAAUUAAGUAGAGUGUGCCUCCCUCAUAGUGGAAUGGAGCAAGCGUAGAACAUAUUGUACCACUUUCAAGUUAGAAGUUAUUUCCUAGGGAGUAUUAUUAAAACUCCUUACUCCCCUCUUCAUGAACAAUAAAUAAAUAAAAAGUGAAAAUGACAGUUGAGAUCUUAAUAAAGUAUUAAAUAUACUUAUUAAAAUAACCAAAUAAAGAGUAUUUUUCAUUCUUUAAAAUGCUGGAAACUAUGUAUGUUUAUGCUAUGCCAAAGUGUAUUUUAUUUUGGGGAAUAAUUUAAUUGAUCUAUUUUGUAGAAGCUACCAAGGUAAUAUUUUUUUUUUGUUUCAGCAGUAGGAAUUAAAAAUGAUUCAUAAAGCACACACAGUCACCAUGUAAAUUUAAAUCACAUUAAGAUCACAGUCUUUUUGUUUCACUAAAAUGGUUCUCAUUUGUCUCAACUGUUCAACUCAAAGUGCAUAAAUGUUGCUAGUUCUGAUUCAGGAAGGAUGUAGAACUCAGUGAAUGGUUUUAUAGAGGAACUUGGGCAUUCAGUGAUAGCAUUUAUUCUUUGGAGCAGUUUUGUUGCUUUGUUUGUUUUGCUAUGGGAAUUACUAUUUGUCCAUUUUAAGGUAUGUAAUUAAUCAAUCCAGGAGAAUCAUCUUUGUGUCUGCUGUCUAAAGUAUCUUUCUGUAACACAAGUCUGAACAUCAUGCUCUGUGAUUAAAAACUCAGUGGUUCUGAUUAGACAAGUCUCUUGGUUGCUACUGAUGGAAACUAAUGAGACCACUGAAGAAUUCCAAGCAGCCAAGUGACAGGAACAUAUGUGCAUGUUAGAGGAGUCACACUGAUGGCAGUUUUGUGACUGAAUGAAGAGAGCCAGUUCAAAAACAGAGCCAGGGGAAGAAGUAUGGAUCGCAGUGUCCAGUAUGCCCAAACAGCCCUUUCCAUGGACCUGCCUCCCCGCUCCUGCUAGGCUGCUGGGCAUCUGAGAAAAGCUACAUGAGAGUUCAGUUUGUGCCAGUGGAGUGGACAGCCCUCCCUUCUGCACAUCCCUCCCCACCGGUCCGCAGGCACCAAGAUGGGAAUGUAGCCUCCUGGAGGUGGCUACCCUUGCAGCCCCACAGCCCAGCCACCCUUCGGAUUUAGUGGUGUACCCAUUGGGCAGGAAAAUAAGCUUCUCUUGCCUCCUGAUGCUUUCUACUCAAAGUUCUAAUUUCUGCAUUAUAGCUGAUCUAUCUUGGGGUAUGCAAAAUCCUUUUCAGACUUCACCAGGGCCUUUAGAAGUCCUCCUCUGAAGGUGGCAGACAUUCAGCUACAGAACUGACAUGGAGUUCCCGUGGAGGAUGGGACUCAUCCCAUAUGUCACAAGGAUUUAUACCCUUUCUCCUUCCCAGAAAGCACCUCAGUUUUCUGGACACCAUCAUUUCCAUUUUAUGGAAAUCAAGUCCCACUCCCUUCCCUGCAUUCUGGCCCAGAAGGGAUGCCCAGCCUUAGAUGUCCCAGACCUAAGAUGCCAGCUGGUCUGGCUUCUCUUUCUGCUUCCUAGUAGAUUCCCCUUUUUCCUUUUUUGUUUGUUUUUAGCAAUCCAGAGUUUAAGAUAAAGGCCUCAGAGCUAGCUUGUAAGCCUCUCACUUUCUAGGUAUCUGCGUAUGAAUCAGAGGCAUUAUCUGGGAGUGUGUGCAACCAUCUGCCCUGGUUUCCUUCCUUCUGGCUCAGUCUGCCUGAGGCUCGAAGGCCCAGGCCUGGCCUCAGGUCACUAGAAUCUAGACAGUUCUCUCUGGAGACUGGUGGUGGCCUUUUUAUGAAAAACAGGCUCCAGUCCCCAGCAGUUAUAGCUAAGUCUCCAUCCUGGCUAGGCAGGGUCCUAAGUAGGAUUCGUAGCACCUUACUGAGGGACCGCAUCUGACUCUCCUGGUACAAGGUUAUUCCCCAUAUUUGUUUGGACACCGGCCUCCCUUUUGCCAACGUAGAGGAGAAAUUCAUCCCACCAGUUUUAGGUGUGUCCUCUUUCCCAGUAGGGUGUGGCCCUAACCUAGAGAUUCCCAUAGCUCCUGGAAGGCAAAGAACUGGCUUCGGACCUUCCACACAUCACAGCAAACUUCCUGCUUAAGGCCUGGCCUUCAGCGGGAACAAGGGCGGAGGCAGGGCAGGAUCACUCAGCUGUCCCCUCGGGGACUCGGCCUCUGCCUUAGAGAACCAGGGUCUGACAGGCCUCCUCCUUUCCCUUUCCAGACUCCGGGUGUGGGACAGGGUGGGAAGAGAGUGUCUUUCUUUUUCCCACCCUCUGUAUACAUCCCUCCUAUGCUCCCAGAAGUACAGCAGAAUUUCUUCAUUGGGUUUAGAUAUUAACAGACUUCUUCGGACCAUUUCUGCCUUUGGCUGGGCUAAAAUACAAGGGAUAAUGAACCCAGCCCUUGUUCUGAGUGAGCUAGGAAGGGAAACGGGGGCGGGGCAGAGUAAAAUGUCUGCCGUGAGCUGCAGGCCAGGGAGAUGGCGUCCAGAGCGUCGGUAACUGCGGGACUUGGGAGGAGGAAACACACUUGAGAGACAGGAAACCCACGGGACCUGAAUUGCUUGAUCCGAGAGAAAAAAUCUAGUUAUGACUCCAGAGUUUCUGACUUUGUAGCGGCUGGGAAAUUAUAGUGAAGGGAUUGAAUUUCAAAUCACAAACCACGGAUUCACCUCCCAGCUCAGCUGUUUGCUGGUUGUGGAAUCAGGCAAAUUAGCACAACUUCUAAGCCUUGGUUUUCUCGCGGUAAAUUAGGGCUACCACUGCCUACUCAGAGGAUGUGAGGUACCAAGCCAUAGCAUCACCCCUGGGCAACCAAGAACUGAUAGCCAUUACUGCACCCACCGCAGGCCCUUAGCUAACCUCAGGUAGCUCUGGGAGGAGUCAGCUUUCGACCUGGAGUGUGAGACCUCCACUUAAAAGAUGUGACCGGGAGGGGCGCUUAGAAGAACAGGAAAGCACUCAUACACUAGGGUGGAAUUGGAGAGGAAGUUCAGGGUUAAGCCAGGUAUGGUGAUGCGUGCCUGCAUCACCAGCUACUUGAGAAGCUGAGGCAGAAGGAUCGUGAUACGUUGGAGCCCAGCCUGGACAACUUAGACCCUGUCUGAAAAUUUUAAAAAUGAAAAGGGCGGGGUCGGGGAUGUAGCUCAGUGGUUUCACCGCCUGCUGCGCAAGCACAAGGACCCGAGUUCAAUCCCCGGUUCCACAAAAAAAAAAAAAAGAAAAGAAAAGAAAAGGGCUAGGAAUGUAGCUACUGGUAAAGUGCUUGCAGUCCAAGGUGUUGGGUAUUUCAAAAUAAAUAAAUUAAAGUUCAGAAGUGAAGAUGUUUGGGAGGCCUCUGACCUCAGGAAGUAGUUGAAACCUUGGGGUGUGAUGGGGCCUUCCAGGGAGUAUAUGUAAUGGGAGAGGGUAAGGGCCAAUGGUAGGCUCACAGAUGCGUUAAGAUGCGUGGGAUCUUUUAGCAACAUGCCCCUCCUGUGUCAUCUUUAAAAUGAUGUUACUAUCCAGAGGUGAAUCUGAGUAUCUCGCUAACAGUCUCCUCUGCAAAGACAGAAUCUUGUUGCAUUUAGUUGUCAGUAAUCUGCCAAAUCAGGUGGACUUCUUUCCAUCUGGAAUUACGGUCUUUAGAAAGAAAGUUAAACAUUUGAGAGGCUUUAUAAAAACAAACCUGGCAAAUCUUCAGUCUAAAAGAUUUUUCCACUGAAAACCAAGACAGACUUUUCAGGGUUGGGCUUGCUCAGUUCUUUUCCACUCAAAUCAUGAGAAGUUUAAAAAACAAAAAAAGUGAGUUUGGAGAGCUUGCUUAAGUAAAACCAGGAGUCACUAGAAGUGAAUGAGCUAAAACUGGGAGAAAUCGUUUUGUGCAAUUUGGGUUUCAGCAAAUGCUCGGCAGGCAGCUAACCCCAUUCAUUAAGUGAGAAAAAGUAUGUUCCUAAAUUCUGUUCUCAGAAGCAGUCACCUAGAAAAAAAAUUGUCCCAGCAGAAAGGGAUUCUAGAAACCAUAUGCUCUAGAUUUACAAAACUUUUCUUUGUUGUCAGUGAGAGGCUUCCUAAAAACUAUUUCCAUUCAUUGAAAAUAAUUAAUGAAUCUGGUUACCACGUGGUAAUGUCCCUUCCUAGAAAAGUAUGAUUUUGUUUUGUGCCGCUCUGGAACUCAGAAACUUUGAUCUUUUGGUUUAACUUUAUGGGGUCAUUUUUACUACAUACAUGAAAAGAAACUGCCAUCUGAAAACCUUUUUCUCUGCUUUUGAAAUCUAAAUCCAGACCUGGAAAACAGCCUGCAAGUAGCAUCCUGUCAAACUGAGAUGUGUUAUUUUUCCUGAUUGUCUCUCUUCCACUGUAUUAAAUUAUCAUAUGCUCCAUAUGACUGUCCCCAGGCCAGGCCUGUGUUAGGUUUCCCACUGCAUUCUUUUUUUGGGGGGUGGGGGCUUACCGGGGAUUGAACUCAGGACCUUGUGCUUGCCAGGCAGGUGCAGCGCCAUUGAGCUACGUCCCUGGCUCCCACUGCAUUCUUAGCUGUGACCACGGGGGCUUGGUGGUGAGGUGGGAGUGGCUGGGGGCUUGAGGUCCUCCCGGCUAGAGCGCUCCUCUUUCACCAGUGCCACUCACGCUGAGUAGCUUAAGAAUAAGCUCCUGUGUGAGCCCUUGGAGGCCAAGGAGUAUUGUUGAAUUCAGAAAGGAAUUGCUUUUUUUUUUGGUGAUAAUUUGAAUCUUUUGACAAUGAAGCUAAGCUACCUCUGGCUGUGUACUUCAUGUUCUGGGAGCCCUUCCCUGGGAAGGGGAUGACAGCCCCCACCUCUCUGAAUACAUAAAUUGGGAUUGUCCACUUGUGAGAUGAACAAGCAGAAGAAUUUGAUUCUUUUGCCUUAAUGUUUUUUAAAGCUCUCAGGGCUGGGGAGUUUAAUUCAAGCUUCGGGGACCACCCAUUUAAACCACCAUGAUAAAUGCUGAGCAUUUCAAAAUGACAGGCGGUCCAUGCAGAUGAUUUUUUUUUCCCAUUAAGUUUAUUGGUACAUUUUAGGUAUAAAAUCCAGUUACAGUCAUCAUUGGGAUCUUGUACCAUUACAUGAGUCUCUUGGUUCUUAUUUUUUUCCCCAUUCCCCUACCCUCCCUUCACCCCCUCUACCCUUCCCUAUUUGCAAAGACUUUGUUUCCAUGUUUUUCCUUUUCUCAUAUUUUUUCUUUUCGCUCCUUUCCUUUCCCCUACCCCUCCCACUUCCUCCACUUCUUUAGACCUUUUCUUCCUAUUACACAACAUCAAUUAUACAUUUUUAAAAUUACAAUAUCAAGAUCUAGGAGACAUUACCACAGAUUUUACAGAAUUUAAAAGGAUAUAGAAAGCAUAUUACAAAAAUCUGUUUUGAAAUAAAUUUGACAAAUUCUAAGAAGUACCUUGGAAGACAAAUUAAUGAAACUAACUCUGGAGGAAAUAUAAAAUUUGAAUAGCACCUAUUAAAGAAAGUAUAUUCCUAGCUUGAAAACGUACCUAUAUGUCAACAACAGGCUUGUAUACACUUUAACUGGUGAAUUAUAUCAAACAUUUAAAGCAGAAAAAAGGAACACUUCUCCCCUCAUUUUAGGAAAUCAACAUUGUGCUAAUACUAAAACUGGAUAAAGAUAAUAGAAGAAAAAAGUAUGAACAUAGAUAGAAAUAUGUUUAAUAAAACAAACUAUUAGAAGUCAGAUCUGGCAGUAUGUAGAAAGUGGUUUUAUUACAGGGAUGGCAGUGUUGGUUCAGCAUUGGAAGAUCCACCCCCAAAAGUCAUCAUUUUAACAGAGGAAAGGAAGAAGCCAUAUGAUCCUGUCAGUAGUUAGAGAAAAGGUAUUGGACUAAAUUCUACAGCUGAUCAUGGUAAAAGCUAUCAGGAGACUAGAAAUAGAACAGAACCUUCUCAACAGAUCAAAGACAUGUACUCCAUACUUCCAGCAAAAACACCUUAUAUGAACGGAGAAGAUACAAUGCUUUCUCCUUAAGGUGAGAAACAAGGGCAGAUAUGCCUACUCUUCAUCUGUCCAUUAAACUUUGAAACCUAGGCCUCACCAAAAUAGUCUGGCAAUAGGAUGACACAAUUAGGAUAGGAUUGGCAAGGGAGAAGUGAAAUCUUUAUAUGUAGAUGAAAUGAUCAUCUACAGAGAAAAUACUAAGAAAUCUCUAGGAGCCCCUAGAACUUGUAUUUGAAUUUAGCAGGAUUAGAAAACACAAGGUAUAUAUAAAAAUUCAGGUCUGUGUAUACUUGCUAUAAAUGAAGAAUUGGAUAUUGAAAUUUAAAAGUUAUGUAGGAGUACAAAGGACCUAGAAAAGUAAUUUAAAAACCACAAAAAAACAGUGUUGGAAGACGUUUAGUACCUAGUUUUAAGACUUCUUCUAAAGCUACAGUAAUCAAGGCAGUGUUGGUGUAAGGAAAGACAUAUAGAUCAUUGGAAUAAAACAGAGAAUCUUGAAAUAGAACCACACAUAUAUGGUCCACUGAGUUUUGAAAGAUUAUUUAACAUUAACAUUUUAUAGAAUAUAAACUCAAGAGCUGAGGAAAAGAUAGGGUUUUCAGUAAAUGGUACUAGAACACCUGGUAUCCAUAUAUAAAAAACCUCAACCCUUUCUUUCCAUACAUAAAAAUAACUUGAAAGGAUCUAUGAACCUAAAUAUGAAAGCCUAAAAGUAUUUUAAGAAGAAACUGUAAGGGAACAUGUUUAUGAAUUUAGGGUAGGCAAGAAUUUCCUAGGAUAUAAAAAACAUGAUGUAUAAAAGAAAAAAAUUGAUAAAUGAGAUUCCAUCAAAAUUUAGAACUUUAAAUGACAUCGUUAAGAAAAUGAAAAGCAGUCCUUUAACAGACCAUAUUUAUAAUGCAUAUAACCUAUGGCCAAGACUGGUUACUGCCAGAGUUGAUCCAAGAAGGUCCUGGGGAUUGAGUCCAGGACCUUGUGCACACAAAGCACAGAGCCUACCUCUGAGCUAUACCCCCGGCCACCAACAUGAGUGUGACUCACUGCAGCCAAGUAAAUUAAUGUAUCCAGCACUUCACAUGGGCACCUUUCUUUCUGUGCUAUAAGCAUUCAGAUGAAAACCACCUAAAGUAUAAUGGACUCCCCCAUGGAACUUCCUGGAGAACAUACAGAGAAGUUAAAUGUGACCUACAUUUAUUCUGUGGGAUUUGAGGAGAUUCAACCCAGGGAGCACUGAGCUAUAUUCCUAGCCCUUUAAAAAUUUUUAUUUUGAAGCAUUGUCCCACUAACUCACACAGGCUAUCCUCAAACUUGCAAUCCUCCUGCCUCAGCCUCUCAGGUAGCUGGGAUUACAGUCACAUAGGGUUCUUAGGAGGCCUUUGGCCCCUAGAGAUAUUAAACUGGAACAAACCAGACUUAACCUGAGUUAGAAUUGUGGCUCUGCUGCUCCCAGCAGACAAGAGGAGUCCUCUGGGCCGCCAUACUACCCCCACUAGCACACAGGAGGUGAGCUGCUCCCAGCGCCCAUGCAGAUGAUUUGCGAAGUGUUUAUACAUGCAAAAUAAGGGAGCGAUCAAACACAGACUGAUUCAGACACAUAACCUAUUCGCCUCCAGUUUCUUCCUUGAGCUGUGUUGGGUUGUUUUGAAAUGUUAGUUGGCUGAAAAAGUCUUAAUUUCUCCAUUUUUAAUUUAAAAGGCUAUUCUAUAUAAAGUAAAGGGGCACAGCCCUUCUGAUUAAAUUAACAGGAGCAGGCAGCCAGUGAUUGGAUCACGUAGGUGAGUUAUAAUUGGCUUUGUUUCAUAAUCAAUUUACCUUUUGUACCAGUGAAAAAAAGCCUAUGUAGCUUUCCCCUAAGAGGAUCUGUUGGUCGGAAUGGUUUUAAUGGGAUUUAGAAGCCAAGUUUUAUCACUAAUUGGUGAACAGAGAUACUGGUUUUGAAAUGCUCAUCAGAGUUUGGUGGUACAAAGCCAGCAGCAGACUUGGUUCCUAAGGUCUUGGUAGAAACAUGAAUUCUGAGCUGGGUAUAGUGGCUCAUGCCUGUAAUCCCAGCGCUGGGGAGGCUGAGGCAGGAGAAUUGCCAUGAGUUUGAGGCCAGCCUAGACUGUACAGUGAGUUUGAGCCCAGCUUGAACUAUAUAGGGAGACCCUGUCUCAAAAAAAAAAAAAAAAUAGAAACUAAAUUCUCAGGGUACCUAAGAUAUUUUUAGUCUGUGCUGGCUUACCUGUGGCCUAAGAAUCUGUCCUUUUAAAAGAUUUUUUUUUUUUUUUUUUGGUACGGGGAUCAAACUUGGCUCCUUGCGCUUGCGCAGCAGGUAGCGAAACCACUGAGCUAAAUCCCCAGCCCUUAAAAGAUUUUUUGAUGCGUAACCAGGUUUAGUCAGUACUAAAUCGAAUAUUCAAUUUGGAGGUGCCAGCCUUUUGGCCUUGCUUAUUUGAUAGAUCUCAAUGUUUAUUUGAAGCUUUUGUUGAAAGUGAGUGUUGAUGGGUCAUUGCCGACUUUCUUUCAAUUCAUAAUUUGUUUCAAGUUGUAUUACUGCAUAGAUUUGCAUACCUGUUUAUGGUAUUUAAAUGCUGUUGGUUUAAAAGAAAUACCAUUUCCUCUGAGUGCUGUUUUGAAUGUUUUGGGUAAGCAAUUUCAUGUGUUCUUUUUUUUCUACUUGCAG